CAUAUAUUCAAAAACAAAAAGGUGAGGUUUUGUUUUGCUUAGAGAAUCUUGCUGUUUUAUUUUA
rnacentral:pre_miRNA from 12 species